ensembl:lncRNA
UUUGCCUGCUCCCAGGUGACUUUUCUGACUUCCUAGGCCACCACAUAAGUAUCCUGUAGUGCCCACGAAUGUGCUGAGUGGCUGAUUGACACUCCCCCGUUGCCUUCUUAGCAGCACUGCCAACACAGCUGCCCUCUACUCUGCACAGGCCAACCUCCUACCGUGGAAACGCAGGGAGUCAAGCCUCUGCUCAGACCUUCGCCUCCCUUCAGUGCUCCUGCACAUUCAGCCCUUCUUUGCCCAGAUAGUAUUAGCCAAACAGAAGCCCAGUAGCCAAAAGCUGUCUUUAAGCAAGUGUUUUCUUUGGCCUCUUGCACAUCAAAGGGAACAUAACAGUGACAUGAUAAUAAGCAACAAUGAUCCUCAUUGUUUCAAAGAGACAACAUCAGUGCCAGCAGUGCCAGUGAGACCCUGGAGUGUCCGUUGCUUUCUGUGCGAAUGGAAAAUGCAGGUCAGCUACCUCUUCAGGUAUAAAGAGUGCUCAUGACGCUUAGAAAACUGGAAAUCACUUUAUAACUGCCAUUGACUGUUAUUGUCCCUAAGAGCUUCGAGAUCACCACAACACGGCUCCCAAUGUGCUCUUGAUAUAUAUGAGGGGGUACUCAUGGUGCAAUGAAAUUAAACAGGUAUUUAACGGCAACCCCGACCCAGAUCCCUGGACAGAAAAUAAACCCACUACUCAGCUCCUCAGGGGCACAGAGGAUGGGUCUCACCCUGGGAUUUGGAGGGCCAGGAAUGAAAUGGCCUGGGGUCAGGGUCGAAGUCCCCUCAGCUCUGCCCCGGAGGGAAGGGCAGAUGCUGGGCAGGUCUCACGAAGGAGCCUCAUGGAUCUGCCUCUUUUUUUUUUUUCUCCACUUCCUCCUAAGGGAGAAAGUUCUUUUCCUUCCCGCCACUCUGGGCCGAGCGGAAGUUGAAAAGGGCUCCUUGUUCCUAAAGUUUUAUAUAGCUCAGUAAAUGACUGCUGGGUCUCAGCCUCAGGUCUGGAACUGCCUUCGCAGCCACACCUGGACAGUGGCCCAUUUAGCAGAAAAGCCAGGGGCGAUCUCCUGGGGGAGCUUUGUGCUUGUAUUAUAAACUGAAAUAGCCCCCCAGGUCUCUGGGAAGGAGAGGACCUCGCUGCAGAAACAUUUUUCCGGAAAGAGCAGCCGCGUUCAGUUGCCUGAAUAACGUGGGGUCCAGCGCCACCUAGUGCCCGCUGUGGUGCUUGGUGUGCGUCCUGAGCUCUGGAUGGGGCGUUUCGGAAAGUGGCUGUAACCAGGACAGGGGCUACCAUUCUCUGCGUGCAGGGCUGUCCUCAUGCCCACGACAAGGGUCUGUGAUUUUGGUGGGAGAAGCUGAGGAGCUACAAUCCUAAUGCGUCACAGAUGGAAGUGUUGGAGGAUUCCUGCACCAUGAGGGGGUAACCAGCUAUUGCAGAGGCAGCUACAGUAUCCAGGAGUGGAGAGCCAAGCACACCAGUCUCAGCCUGCCCAGUGGAAGCCCAGAGGAGCCCUGUGGCUGGAGGUGAGGACCCAGGAGGUGCUCCAGCCUCCCCAUCCUCAUCCCCAGUUUGGCCCUCAUCCAAACCAGAAAGAAGGCUGAAAGUUGUCCUGAGGACCUCUGACAUUCCAGAAGAGCAACAUUGGCCUGUUUCAUUUACGUCUGAUGAAAAGACCUGUCUGUCUUUGAAAUCACGCUGCAAUUUCCUCGAGCAACUGGCAGAAUGGCUGUGUGAGAUCAAGAGAGAACCUCCUAGGGCUGGCCUCCUCAUUCUCUGCCCCUCGCUCGCCCCACCCUCCCGGCCCACAGCUUC